rnacentral:rRNA from 1 species
AGAAUCAACGCUGGCGGCGUGCCUAACACAUGCAAGUCGAACGAGAAAGUGGAGCAAUCCAUGAGUAAAGUGGCGCACGGGUGAGUAACACGUGACUAACCUACCCUUGAGUGGGAAUAACCUAGGGAAACCUGGGCUAAUACCGCAUAACACCUACGGGUCAAAGGAGCAAUUCGCUUAAGGAGGGGUCGCGGCAGAUUAGCUAGUUGGCGGGGUAAUGGCCCACCAAGGCAGUGAUCUGUA